UACAGAGGGUGCAAGCGUUGUUCGGAAUUAUUGGGCGUAAAACGCGUGUAGGCGGCUUUGCAAGUCGGGUGUGAAAUCCCCCCAGCUUAACUGGGGAAGUGCGCUCGAAACUGCAGAGCUCGAGUACCGGAGAGGAUGGCGGAAUUCCCCAAGUAGAGGUGAAAUUCGUAGAUAUGGGGAGGAACACCGGUGGCGAAGGCGGCCAUCUGGACGGUAACUGACGCUGAGACGCGAAAGCGUGGGUAGCAAACAGG
rnacentral:rRNA from 1 species